AGAAUCAACGCUGGCGGCGUGCCUAACAUAUGCAAGUCGCACGAGAAAGGGUAGCAAUACCUGAGUACAGUGGCGCACGGGUGAGUAACACGUGACUAACCUACCCUCGAGUGGGGAAUAACCUAGGGAAACCUGGGCUAAUACCGCAUAACACUUACGAGUCAAAGCAGCAAUGCGCUUGGGGAGGGGGUCGCGGCCGAUUAGCUAGUUGGCGGGGUAAUGGCCCACCAAGGCAAUGAUCGGUAUCCGGCCUGAGAGGGCGCACGGACACACUGGAACUGAAACACGGUCCAGACUCCUACGGGAGGCAGCAGUGGGGAAUUUUGCGCAAUGGGGGAAACCCUGACGCAGCAACGCCGCGUGGAGGAUGAAGUCUCUUGGGACGUAAACUCCUUUCGAUUGGGAAGAUAAUGACGGUACCAAUAGAAGAAGCCCGGCUAACUUCGUGCCAGCAGCCGC
rnacentral:rRNA from 1 species